rnacentral:rRNA from 2 species
UACGUAGGGUCCAAGCGUUAUCCGGAAUUACUGGGCGUAAAGAGUUGCGUAGGUGGCUUUGUAAGUAGAUAGUGAAAGCGUGCGGCUCAACCGCAUAUCCAUUAUCUAAACUGCAUGGCUAGAGGACGAGAGAGGUAGAUGGAAUUCCUGAUGUAGGGGUAAUAUCCGUAGAUAUCAGGAGGAACACCGAUGGCGUAAGCAGUCUACUGGCUCGUUCCUGACACUAAGGCACGAAAGCGUGGGGAGCAAACAGG